AGUGAACGCUGGCGGUAGGCCUAACACAUGCAAGUCGAACGGCAGCACAGUAAUAGCUUGCUCGUACGGGUGGCGAGUGGCGGACGGGUGAGGAAUACAUCGGAAUCUACUUUUUCGUGGGGGAUAACGUAGGGAAACUUACGCUAAUACCUCAUACGACCUACGGGUGAAAGCAGGGGAUCUUCGGACCUUGCGCGAUUGAAGGAGCCGAUGUCGGAUUAGCUAGUUGGCGGGGUAAAGGCCCACUAAGGCGACGAUGCGUAGCUGGUCUGAGAGGAUGAUCAGCCACACUGGAACUGAGACACGGUCCAGACUCCUACGGGAGGCAGCAGUGGGGAAUAUUGGACAAUGGGCGCAAGCCUGAUCCAGCCAUACCGCGUGGGUGAAGAAGGCCUUCGGGUUGUAAAGCCCUUCUGUUGGGAAAGAAAAGCAGCAGGUUAAUACCCCGCUGUUCUGACGGUACCCAAAGAAUAAGCACCGGCUAACUUCGUG
rnacentral:rRNA from 1 species